rnacentral:rRNA from 1 species
GACGAACGCUGGCGGCGUGCUUAACACAUGCAAGUCGAACGGAAAGGCCCUGCUUUUGUGGGGUGCUCGAGUGGCGAACGGGUGAGUAACACGUGAGUAACCUGCCCUUGACUUUGGGAUAACUCCAGGAAACUGGGGCUAAUACCGGAUAGGAGCUCCUGCUGCAUGGUGGGGGAUGGAAAGUUUCGGCGGUUGGGGAUGGACUCGCGGCUUAUCCGCUUGUUGGUGGGGUAGUGGCUUACCAAGGUUUUGACGGGUAGCCGGCCUGGGAGGGUGGCCGGCGACAAGGGGACUGAGGGAGGGCCCAGACUGCUACGGGAGGCAGCGGUGGGGAGUAUUGCGCAGUGGGCGGGAGCGUGAUGCAGCGACGCCGCGUGCGGGAUGACGGCCUUCGGGUGGUAAACCGCUUUCGCCUGUGACGAGGCGUGAGUGACGGUAAUGGGUAAAGAAGCACCGGCUAACUACGUG